UUACUUUUUCGAGCGAGUGGCGAACGGGUGAGUAACGCGUGAGGAACCUGCCUCAAAGAGGGGGACAACAGUUGGAAACGACUGCUAAUACCGCAUAAGCCCACGGCUCGGCAUCGAGCAGAGGGAAAAGGAGCAAUCCGCUUUGAGAUGGCCUCGCGUCCGAUUAGCUAGUUGGUGAGGUAACGGCCCACCAAGGCGACGAUCGGUAGCCGGACUGAGAGGUUGAACGGCCACAUUGGGACUGAGACACGGCCCAGACUCCUACGGGAGGCAGCAGUGGGGAAUAUUGCACAAUGGGGGAAACCCUGAUGCAGCGACGCCGCGUGGAGGAAGAAGGUCUUCGGAUUGUAAACUCCUGUUGUUGAGGAAGAUAAUGACGGUACUCAACAAGGAAGUGACGGCUAACUACGUGCCAGCAGCCGCGGUAAAACGUAGGUCACAAGCGUUGUCCGGAAUUACUGGGUGUAAAGGGAGCGCAGGCGGGAAGACAAGUUGGAAGUGAAAUCCAUGGGCUCAACCCAUGAACUGCUUUCAAAACUGUUUUUCUUGAGUAGUGCAGAGGUAGGCGGAAUUCCCGGUGUAGCGGUGGAAUGCGUAGAUAUCGGGAGGAACACCAGUGGCGAAGGCGGCCUACUGGGCACCAACUGACGCU
rnacentral:rRNA from 1 species